AGAAUCAACGCUGGCGGCGUGCCUCAGACAUGCAAGUCGAACGAUUAAAGCUCUCUUCGGAGAGUGUAUAGAGUGGCGCACGGGUGAGUAACACGUAAGUAAUCUACCUUUGAGUGGGGAAUAACAUCGGGAAACCGAUGCUAAUACCGCAUAAUGCAGCGGCAUCGCAAGAUGACAGUUGUUAAGGAUUUAUCGCUUGAAGAGGAGCUUGCGGCAGAUUAGCUUGUUGGUAAGGUAACGGCUUACCAAGGCUACGAUCUGUAACCGGUCUAAGAGGACGGUCGGUCACACUGACACUGAAUAACGGGUCAGACUCCGUACGGGAGGCAGCAGGUCGGGUAAUUUUGGGACAAGUGGGACGAAAGCCCGUAGACCCGAGACCGAACCGCCGGCGGUACGGAA
rnacentral:rRNA from 1 species